UUACCAAAAACACAGCACUCUGCUAACUCGGAAGAGGAUGUAUAGGGUGUGACGCCUGCCCGGUGCUCGAAGGUAAAUUGAUGGGGUUAGCAAUAGCGAAGCUCUUGAUCGAAGCCCGAGUAAACGGCGGCCGUAACUAUAACGGUCCUAAGGUUGCGAAAUUCCUUGUCGGUUAAAUACCGACCUGCAUGAAGGGCGUAACGAGAAGGGAGGUGUCUCAAAGAGGGAUCCACUGAAA
rnacentral:rRNA from 1 species